rnacentral:rRNA from 1 species
UACGAAGGGAGCUAGCGUUGUUCGGAAUCACUGGGCGUAAAGCGCACGUAGGCGGAUGUGUCAGUCAGGGGUGAAAUCCCGGAGCUCAACUUCGGAACUGCCUUUGAUACAGCACGUCUUGAGUCCGAUAGAGGUGGGUGGAAUUCCUAGUGUAGAGGUGAAAUUCGUAGAUAUUCGCAAGAACACCAGUGGCGAAGGCGGCUUACUGGUCCGGUUCUGACGCUGAGGCGCGAAAGCGUGGGUAGCAAACAGG